GUGAGUAGUCGUAUGUUUAUUAA
rnacentral:miRNA from 1 species